rnacentral:rRNA from 1 species
AUGGACAACACUCACGAUGGUCACGUCGAUCCGGUGCAUGGCCCAUGCAUGGCGGGUCGUGCUCGCCAGCCCGAUGCAUCCACAGCCGCCCCGCGGGCGUCGGCAGCGCCCGCAGCUGCGCCCGGCUCGCCCACCCCGUCGCCCGGCUCGCCUGGCUCGCCCGCCCCGUUGGCCGCGUCACCUGGGCCUGCUGACGAGUCAACGCCGCCAGCGUCGCCCUUGCCUGGCCCAGCGGCAGGCAACCCAGCAGCCACUGGCCCAGCGGCAGGUGGCCCAGCGGCCACGUCAGCUGCACCGGCCAGCCCCGCCUCGGCCCCCUCGGCUCCUCGCGAGCCGGCCUUGUCGUCGGCUGGGCUCGGCAGCCCCGUCUCGGCCACGUCGUCCGGUGCUGAGCCUGAUGACCCUGGCUCCUCCAGCUCAGGAUCGGUCUCGCCUUCGUCUCCUGUGGCAAGCCUCGUGUUGCCGGCGCCGCCUGCUGUGGUCGCUCAUCGUCCACACACACGCAGCCAGUCUGGUGUUUUUCGGCCCAAGGAACGCACAGACGACACUGUGGCGUGGCUUGCCGCAUGUGUGGCUCAUGUUGCUACGGAUCCGACGGCUGAGCCGCGUCAUUUUCAGCCCGCAUUGGGUAUUCCUCACUGGCGUGCUGCGAUGGAGCAGGAAUUUCAGGCUUUGCUGAAAAAUGGCACUUGGCAACUUGUUCCUCCGGUCUCUGGCAUCAACAUCAUUGACUCCAAAUGGGUGUUUAAGGUAAAACGACAUGCAGAUGGUUCUAUUGAGUGCUACAAGGCACGGCUGGUUGCCAAGGGUUUCAAGCAGAGGUAUGGUCUUGAUUAUGAAGACACGUUCAGUCCAGUUAUCAAGCCUACUACUAUUCGUAUACUGCUGUCUCUUGCUGUUACUCCUGGUUGGUCUCUUCGUCAGCUUGACGUGCAGAAUGCCUUCCUCCAUGGAGUUCUUGAGGAAGAGGUUUAUAUGCGUCAACCACCAGGUUUUGUUGAUCCUACACGUCCGCAUCAUCUCUGUCGUCUGGUCAAGGCAUUGUAUGGACUUAAACAGGCGCCUCGUGCGUGGCAUGCGCGCCUUGGUUCUGUUCUCCGGACUCUUGGGUUUAUUCCCUCCACUGCUGACACAUCACUGUUCCUCCUUCAGCGUCCUGAGGUGACGAUGUAUCUAUUAGUUUAUGUUGAUGAUAUCAUCCUUGUCGGUUCCUCUGAUGCUGCUGCUGAUCGCCUUAUGUCUGCGUUGAGUGAGGAGUUUGCUGUCAAGGAUUUGGGUGCCCUGCAUUACUUCCUUGGUUUGGAGGUGUCACGGUCUUCUGCUGGGUUGACUCUGACUCAGAAGAAGUAUUCUUUGGAUUUGUUGCGUCGUGCUGGGAUGCUCAAAUGCAAACAUGCUAUCACUCCGAUGUCUGCGACUGAUCGGUUGUCUGCUCUUGAUGGAGAUCUUCUUUCCACUGAUGACGCCACUGAGUAUCACAGUCUUGUUGGCGGUCUACAAUAUCUCACUAUCACCAGGCCUGAUGUCUCUUAUGCAGUCAACCGUGUGUGCCAGUACCUUCAUGCACCUCGUACCACUCAUUUCUCGGCAGUUAAGCGCAUUCUGUGA